rnacentral:rRNA from 1 species
GAUGAGUGGCGAACGGGUGAGUAACACGUGAGUAACCUGCCCCCUUCUUUGGGAUAACGCCCGGAAACGGGUGCUAAUACUGGAUAUUCACUGGUCUUCGCAUGGGGGUUGGUGGAAAGGGUUUUUUCUGGUGGGGGAUGGGCUCGCGGCCUAUCAGCUUGUUGGUGGGGUGAUGGCCUACCAAGGCUUUGACGGGUAGCCGGCCUGAGAGGGUGACCGGUCACAUUGGGACUGAGAUACGGCCCAG